rnacentral:rRNA from 1 species
CCGCCGGCGACCGGCGCACGGGUGAGUAACACGGUAUGCAACCUGGCCGUGACAGAUGGAUAACCGGGAGAAAUCCCGCCUAAUACAACAUAAUGCCGGGAGGGGACAUCCCCUGCCGGCCAAAGGGGGCGACCCCCGGUCACGGAUGGGCAUGCGGCGCAUUAGGUAGUUGGUGGGGCAACGGCCCACCAAGCCGACGAUGCGUAGGGGUUCUGAGAGGAAGGUCCCCCACAUUGGAACUGAGACACGGUCCAAACUCCUACGGAAGGCAGCAG